UACAGAGGGGGCAAGCGUUGUUCGGAAUUACUGGGCGUAAAGGGCGCGUAGGCGGCCUGUUAAGUCGAACGUGAAAUCCCCGGGCUCAACCCGGGAACUGCGUCCGAUACUGGCAGGCUUGAAUUCGGGAGAGGGAUGCGGAAUUCCUGGUGUAGCGGUGAAAUGCGUAGAUAUCAGGAGGAACACCGGUGGCGAAGGCGGCUUUCUGGACAGAUACCGACGCUGAGGCACGAAAGCUAGGGGAGCAAACAGG
rnacentral:rRNA from 1 species